rnacentral:lncRNA from 1 species
UUCAAGGAUUGAUGAUUUUUUUGCAUUUAUCAAAUAUUUUCUCAUUUAAAAUUAUGAUUAAAGAACAAAGUAGUGAUGACUAAUUUAUAUAUGCGCUAAUCUUCAACCAGUUAUCAGGAAUAAAUAGGUUUAUUUUUUAUUAUUUACAGUCAGUUAAGUAUAGGUUAUCAAAAUAUAUACAGACAUAGAGAAAUCUAAAUUACAAUAAGUAGGAAAUGUUAGUGAAACAAAAAGAAAGUGAUUCAGAAAAAUGUGAGGAAGAAAGGUGAAAUUUUGUUCCUUAUUUUUUUUAUUGUAAAUCAACAUAGUCUUCACGUUUUCCUAUUAGAAUUUGAGAUUAGGUUGUUAAAGAUAUCUUGUUGAAGAUGAGAUUAGUCAAUAAAUUAUUUUGUUUAAUGGUCACACCAUUUUUUAAAGUACUUUCAAAAGUAUACUAUGUAGUAGCCAUUACAGUAUUAAGUUGGGUGAGCCCAAAUUGGUUGUCAUGGAAUAAAUAUUCAGAAAGUAUGUUAAGAGCGC